AUUCAGCUGACGAGCCUCAAACAGGACGAAAUGCGCGUCCUGAAU
rnacentral:hammerhead_ribozyme from 1 species